GCUGUGUCCAGGCACUCUUGGUGCCUAAGAACAGCCCUUAGCCGUGGUAUAUUGACCAUAUACCACACCCCCUCGGGCCUUAUUGCUUAAUUAUACAAUGGUAGCAUGCUAUUUGUUUUAUUGUGUAAAACGAUUGUAUUUAACCAGAUGAUUUGCUCAACAUUAUGCUACUACCUGUACUGUAGCAUCAUUUAACUGUUAAUAUGUCUAUGAGCUCAUGGAAGCUUCCCUGUAGCAGUGCUAAACCAGGUCGAAGUGAAGCUUCCUUGUAGCAGUGCUAAACCAGGUUGAAGUGAAGCUUCCUUGUAGCAGUGCUAAACCAGGUUGAAGUGAAGCUUCCCUGUAGCAGUGCUAAACCAGGUUGAAGUGAAGCUUCCCUGUAGCAGUGCUAAACCAGGUUGAAGUGAAGCUUCCUUGUAGCAGUGCUAAACCAGGUUGAAGUGAAGCUUCCCUGUAGCAGUGCUAAACCAGGUUGAAGUGAAGCUUCCCUGUAGCAGUGCUAAACCACGUUGAAGUUAAGCUUCCCUGUAGCAGUGCUAAACCAAGUUGAAGUGAAGCUUCCCUGUAGCAGUGCUAAACCAAGUUGAAGUGAAGCUUCCCUGUAGCAGUGCUAAACCAAGUUGAAGUGAAGCUUCCCUGUAGCAGUGCUAAACCAGGUUGAAGUGAAGCUUCCCUGUAGCAGUGCUAAACCAGGUUGAAGUGAAGCUUCCCUGUAGCAGUGCUAAACCAAGUUGAAGUUAAGCUUCCCUGUAGCAGGGCUAAACCAGGUUGAAGUGUUGACUGAAGGUUGCAGGGCUAAACCCUCUGCUGCUAUGUACUAAAGCAGUGGUCUAAAAGGAAAAGGAAACCGCUCAGAUGUUUUAUUUACAUGACUUAAAAAAUGUAAGCCUAUGCAACAUUAACCAAUUAAAAACAGUCCUGUGGUAAUGAGGUUUGUGCAGUAAGCUAUAGUCCCAAUACACUAUCACUGUAUAUUGGCUAGGUUUGAAUUGCCCUGCCAAUGUUGUUUUUCAAUAGGACAUUCUAAAAUUAUAUUUCAACAUUAUAGGUAUUAUGAUCAGACUGGUAAUAGAUAAUUUUAUGUAUUACUUGUGAGGCACAGCUGAGUGACAUAAUAAUUAUAUAUACUUUUUUUUACUGUACUGAUGACCUGCAUCUGAUGGUCAGUCUGAGGGGAGGGAGCAGCAGUGAGGCUGGCUCUCACCUAACACACCAUCCCUCUGCUAAGAUAAGGGGAUGUAAGGGGACGUAGUCUUCCAUCUGAUGGUCACUCUGAGGGGAGGGAGCAGCAGUGAGGCUGGCUCUCACCUAACACACCAUCCCUCUGCUAAGAUAAGGGGACGUAAGGGGACUUAGUCUUCCAUCUGAUGGUCACUCUGAGGGGAGGGAGCAGCAGUGAGGCUGGCUCUCACCUAACACACCAUCCCUCUGCUAAGAAAAGGGGACGUAGUCUUCCAUCUGAUGGUCAGUCUGAGGGGAGGGAGCAGCAGUGAGGCUGGCUCUCACCUAACACACCAUCCCUCUGCUAAGAUAAUGGGAUGUAGUCUUCCAUCUGAUGGUGAAACUCAAGUAGCACUGCAUUAUUUCUGCCUCAUGCACCAAUUCAUGUUGUUACUCCCAUGACCAGAGAAAGUGAAACAUUCCUUGAUAUUGAAAAAGACACAAGCUGCUAAAAAUAACAACUCAAGCUUAUUAAAACACUUUGCUACUCAUUCAUUGCAGCUGCAGUGCUGGUUGUAGCAUGAGUGGAAGUAGGGAGAACGCGCAUUUUAUGCUUUAUAAAAGUGUUGAACAAAGUGUUGACGUUGCUGAAUAACAACUUAAACAUGAACUUAGUUAGUAAAAACAGCAGCUCUUUGCUGUGUUCAUCGAGUCUCUCGAGUCAUGGUUUUAAGUGUUUUGAAAUCUCACAGUAUCAACUUUGCGCGUUCGAUGCUUCUUUUUACAGCCUAUAGCUCGAGGAAACUGCAGACACGGUAAGCUGAGCCAUCUGAUUGGCCAGCGGUAGGCCUAUAGGGGCACUUGAUUUGGUCUCUGGGCCUGCCGGGUACGUGGAGUUCCACCUUCAGACACAUGAAACGGUUCAAAAUUGAAACACUUUUCCUUUCUGGCGCUAGGGCUGCGGAAUCAUGCACCAAUCGUGCACCUACCACCAACAGCGCUAAACAAACAAAUGAAAUAGGAAUGAAGACUUUAUCAUUGUUUUUAACAGAAAUGUUUGGUGAUCGACUAUGAAUGCCUUGGAGAUCGACCACUGAACUAAAGAGACUUUCAGUUCAUCUGUCUUCAACUGACAAACAUAAACAUAAACUUCUCAAAUAAGACAAAUACAGUCAAUUUUACACAUUAAGUGGUUCAGUUGGAAUGCAAUUAAUCGGAAUGUAUGUAUGUAGAAAACAGCAUUUGAUAUAAAACAAUCAAUUGAUGUUAUCCCUGAUGUUAUCCCUGAUGUUAUCACUGAUGUUAUCCCUGAUGUUAUCCCUGAUGUUAUUUAUCCCUGAUGUUAUCCCUGAUGUUAUCACUACAUACGUUUGCUGUGCAUUGAGGCACAUAUACAGCUGCUUAAAGGGAGUCAGUGGAACUGCAUGGAGAAUAGUAUGACUGUUCAUCAAACAAAAAAAAGGACAUUCACGGUUUUAUUGCCAACAGUCAUACAGAAUGAUGAUAACUCAUACAACCAAAGACUAAAUCUGUAAACAUUGUUUGGACUCAUUUCUUUGUUUUUAUUAUUUUUUUUACUUGUUCCAAAAUGUGUUUUUGUGGUCCUUCUGACAAAAAGACUCAUCAUAUUCAGAAUUUGGAAACUAGAGAGAGAGAGAGAGAGAGAGAGAGAGAGAGAAAAACGUUGAAUCUCAAGCAGCAACACUCAAGCAGUACUGCGAAACACAACUCUUAGAAUGCGUCCCAAACGGCACCCUAUUCUCUAUAGUGCACUACUUUUAACUAGGGCCCCCUGGUCAAAAGUAGUGCUUUAUAUAAGGAUUAGGGUGCCAAUGGGACGCACACUAAUGAACGGCAGGGCAUGCCCAUGAAGAAGUUCCAGCUAUUGCACUUUGAAGAAGAAAAACACCAUUGGUACAAAGAAAAGGCACAUUUUCAUCAACAGAAAUCUGAAAAAGCCAUGUUCUAGUGUGACUCUCUACUGUAUACAUGGGGAUGUUGAGUUGACUCACAGUUCUUUGUUGAGCUAACGUAACAUUAUUUAUGCCAAGCUAGUACUGUAAUGGUGUAAGAUUGAUUCAUGUAAGAUUAUUUGAUUAUUUGUUUAAACGUCUGAAUAGCAUGCGUGGACCUCCAGUCAGGAUUUGUCCCUAGGAGUUUUGGGAAUCUAUUCUUCAAUUUGGUCCUUUCCAAAAAAGUCACUGUACAGAUCUGCCAAGCCAAAUGUAUUACCAUUCUAUUGUGUCUGUUCAUAAACUGCCACAAAAGCAGUGGGCUGUCUGGAAAUGUACACAAUCUAGACUAAAAUGACAUGAAGCUGCUUUAGGCUAGACAGCAACUGUAUCAUAUCUUGAUGGGGAGGUUAUCAUAUCAUAACAUUGCUAUGAACCCCUUUAAAAAUCAGAGUAAGACUUAUUUAAAAGACAGUUGUGGGAGUAGAUCCAAGUACACUUCCUCUUGCUGAAAAAUACAGGUAGCCUACAGUAUCGUAAAUAACUGUCUUCUUGUCAAACAAAUUAACUGGAAACACAGGUUCUGUUUUGGUUCAAAAUACAGGUAGCCUACAGUAUCGUAAAUAACUGUCUUCUUGUCAAACAAAUGAACUGGAAACACAGGUUCUGUUUUGGUUCAAUCCUAAAUACACAUCAUUAUCUAACAGUGA